rnacentral:rRNA from 1 species
UACGGGGGGGGCAAGCGUUGUUCGGAAUUACUGGGCGUAAAGGGCUCGUAGGCGGCCAACUAAGUCGGACGUGAAAUCCCUCGGCUUAACCGGGGAACUGCGUCUGAUACUGGAUGGCUUGAAUCCGGGAGAGGGAUGCGGAAUUCCAGGUGUAGCGGUGAAAUGCGUAGAUAUCGGGAGGAACACCGGUGGCGAAGGCGGCCCGCUGGCCAGCGACUGACGCUGAGACGCGAAAGCGUGGGGAGCAAACAGG